AGCCUCCCUCACGCCUCUGAGGGCAUGGCUUCCUGCUCUUAGGCGGCGUUUCGCUUCCAACGCGGCCCUUAAUUGCCUUCUGCAAGGGCAUCCCCUCCACAAAGGCUUGCCGGGCGUCAAUUAUCGACCUUACAUGGAAUUUUUGAUCUCGUGGCCGUUUUGCGGCGAGUCAGCUUAAUUAGUCCUAACAGCCAGCCUCAUCUCUAGGCUGUGCUUGUCGCAUUAGUGAGAGUCCUGGGGACUGGAUCACUGAGUCAGCGCUUCCUGAUGUCAUCCAAAGUCUUCGCUUCAUACAUUUCAGAUGAGGCUCGAAGCCUGCUGGCUUCUCUCUCUUCUGAUCUAUUUUUAAUUAGCAGUCUGGGGCCUUUGCUGUCAGAGCCGCGGAAGGUGCUCUCGGUGGCACAGCCUCGUGUGUGUUUGUGUGGGGAUGUUGGUGCCGGCACAGGGCUCUAACACGUUGUCCAGGCAACCGUGAACUGCAGAGCGAGGAGCGGGAGCCCACGGACGGCUCCUGGGAAGAGACUGGAUGCUCCAGCACAAGAUGCCAGGAUACCCAACUGGAAUGGCAGAAUGCCUACAGAAGGAGGACAGGGAGCCAGUAAUGGGAAACUUGUUACUUUUUGAUGAAUUGGCUUCAGAUCAUGCCAGAAGGACAGUUGUUUUCACUGUCCGCAAAAUCUGUGCAAAGUGUUCAGGAGAACUGCAAGCUGUCAGAAUAAGCCCUCCCAAAAUGAACUGCUUCAGGGUGUGUAGCAUCUUGGAUGGGAACCCUUAGGCCAGGAUCCAAACAAAAACAGAAUGGAAAGACAGUCCUUGCUCCAAAGGAGCUUACAGUGAGACAAGAGACAACAAAUGACAAUUAUACACAGUGGCGAGAAUCAAAAGGGUUAAUCUGAAGGAGAAUAUUUAAAAGACUGGAAAUUCACUUGCAUACCACAGCUUCUUGAAGCCAAGAAAGAAUUAAACAAGAUGAUCAACAGUGAUACUGAGAAUUUCUUGGUGUCCUUUAGCCCAGAAGAGACACGAUCUUCAAUUGCACGUCCCCAGAGUGAUGAGGGAAACCUGCAGCACAGUAUGGAAGUACAUGGCAUUCCUUAUUUUUUCUGGACUGAAAAUAAGCAGGUUUAUUCAUAUAGAUCUGAGGGUUUUUUAACCAUUGUGGAGGAAGAAACGUGUCCUGAGUCUAAAUUUCACCAAGUCCCAAGUAAUUGACACUGAAUGGAGACAACGUGAUACCAAAUCCUCAGGAUUGCUCUCGGAGUCAGUGGCACUCACUCUUCCUGCUCUGGUGUCCUGGCACCAGCAGCUCCUGUGCAGCAGGAUCCUCACUGCCCUCUCAGUCCCUGCACAAAGCAAUCUCCCAUCUCUAAAACCAGAAGGUCAGAAAGGAGUCCUCAUCCCUCUCCUGUUCUCAGUUUUGACUGAAAGUUUCAGACGUGGGGAUUAAGAUACAGAAAUCCCAGUACUGACACUGACACCACAUUUACAGGAUCUAAGGCAGGGCCAGUCUGCAAGGCACUGUGACAUAUAGGGACAGCAAAGCAGGGGAAUGAAUGCAUUACCCUGGAGCUUCCUGAGAAGAGUCAUGGUAAUAAUGGUGACGUCCUUACAACCACGCAUAUCUGUUUCCUUGGGGAACCAGGCAGCUAGGAGUAAAACUUCACCAUGUAGCUGACAACACACAGGGAGCAAUCCCGAGCCCAAACUUCCUAAAUCCAACAGUUUUGAUCAUCACAAUGGUUGUCACUGGAGAAGGUGGGAGACAGACCAUGGCAAGGGCUAGGGGACACUGUUUCAGCCUUGCCAAGUGUUGUCACAGGCCAUGUGUAUCUCGUGCUGUCAACACAAAUCCAGUGCAUUACAAGGCUCUGGGUUAGACACAAGUCCAGGACAAAGAGAGACUGAUCAGGUCAUCUGAUGCUGAUGCCUCUUCUGUGAUCUCAUUACUGGCAUCUGUCAACACCAUACUCUGGGAAGUCCCUCACUGAUUAAAGGUCUCCACUCCCAUCACCCUUCCCAGGCCAGAGGUGGGGAAUCCAGCCUCCCCAGACUGGUUUCCUUGUUUAGUCCCCUACUGCAGUAGAAGAGGCUUUGCCCCCACAAGGGAGCACUGAAGGGAGCCUGGGUGGCUCUCCUUAGGUUGAGGAGCUCCUCAGCAACUCCUAAACCAGGGAGAACUAAAAAAAAAUGGCAUCUCCAGUUGGAGACAAGCACUUGGCCUCACAGGCAGGCAGGAUGCUCUGCUACUGACAUGUAGGGUCCAAGUCUGAUCCAGCUGAAACUCUCUUUUAACUGGCUUAAAGAAAAGGUUGUAGUUAAUAUAGAUAUAGAUAUAGCUAUUUUUAUUGUAGAUAAAAAGUUAUAUGUAACUUUGCCAAUGUGGAAAAGUAAACAUGACUUUGCCCAUUUUUUUCUCUCUGCUUUUAAUAUUCAGCAUUUUUAUUCUCUCAGACUCUUGGAAGAAGAGGAGUGGUUGUCCUGCGUCGUGUCUCCAGCGUUUUGUGACGCAUCUUCUGUAGCAUAUUUGGGCCUCCUUGGAGGAAACCUAUCACAUGAAGGAAACCACCUCAGACAGGGCUUUCAGAAAGACAGAUGUGUCACUGUUGAUGUCAUUUUAAUAAAUAGUCCCUUCUCUUCCUAGUCCCAAGGAAGAGCACUUUCCUAGAUGGGAAAGCAGCUUUCAGUGUCACAAGCAGAAGAUCCGAAAUUAGCUGAGGGGUUUGAAGUAUUUGCCAGCAGUGCUCAAGCAGCAUUACCUCCUGGCAGGGUGCCUGGGCCCUCUCUGUCCCUGCUGGAGAGCCACAGCUGGCAGUGGCUGUUAACCCUUGAGGCCAUCCCCAAUCCCCCCACCAGCAUGGGAUGUGAUGGGGGACCUUGGCUUGAGAGGUGGGCCAGUAUAAACCUCCUCAAGUUCAACAAAGCAAAGUGCAAGGUCUUGCAUCUGGGUCAUGGGAAUUCAAAGCUGAUAAGAGGACUGGAGCAGCUCUCCUGCAAAGACAGGCUGAGAAAGUUGGGGGCUGCUCAGCUUGGAGAAGAGGAGGUUGCAUGGAGAUCUCAUAGGAACCUUCCAGUACCUGAACAAGGCCUGCAGGGAAGCCAGAGUGGGACUUUCCAUCAGAAACUGUAGUGAUAGGACAAGGAGUAAUGGAUUAAAAUUGAAAGAGGGGAAGUUUAGAUUAGACAUUAGGAAGAAACCACUUAACAUUCUAUGACUCUGUGUCCUCAGUCAAAGCCAAACCUGCCCAAGGAGCUCUGUGGAACAGCCAGCAGCUGUGUGAGAGAGGAGCCCACAGACCUGCCAGGUCCCAAGAGGCCACGCCAGAACUACACAUUCCUGCUGCAGUCAGAGAGACCCCAGAGGAGAAGCAUUCUGUGAUGCAUUACGUGCUUUAGAGAUGCACUCCAGGGAAUUUGUCAUCCCAAAGACUUUAGCAUUCAGGAGGAACUUAUAAGUACUGCUGGGAUCUCAGCUUCACUUGAUUCUUUUUUUUAAGGAUUCUCUGAAAUCCUCUUUUUAAGGAGGAUUCUCUGCAAGCAGGAUAACUUGAGUCAUUGAGUACAUCCUCAACAGCAACUAGAGAUUGAAGGAGCAGUGGGAAUACCUUUAUUUCUCCCCUUGCAGGGAUAGGGUUGGGAUCCCUUCUCUCCAGCUGCCUUGGCUCAGUCACUGUUCCUGUCCCCAUCUGGGACCAUGACUCUUGUGCCUGGCAGGACACAGGGCCUGACUGCCAUGCACAGACUUCCUCCCUGCUUCGUCUCCCGUUCACCAUUCAAUAAUGCUAAAUAUUAACUCAUCCCAGGAACUGAUUUUAUUCCAUGCUUGACUUCACAUCCCAGACCCAGGAGAAACUCUGCAGGUCUCAGAGCUCAUCAGAAAUCCAUGAUCCUUUCAGAUGCCUAAUAACAAAAAUUACUGCCUCUGUCUUUUUCCCUGACCAGACAUUUUCCUCAUGCACCAAAGUUAAAUGCUCCCUCUGAAAUACAUCUUUAUGAAAUAAACUUCCAAAUGCCACUAGCUCCUAAUUCCUCUGUGCUUCUGGUUCCCCCAGCCUUGUUGUCCUCCUCUGAUGUCUCCUCCUUUUGCUGCCACAGUCAGAGCAGGCUGGUGGAGGCGUUGGCCUGACUCUGCUGGGCAGGCAGGUGGGCUGACACAGACACUUCUUAGCCCCACUCCCAGCUCCCUUUUCCACACUCAUCACAGUGACAGGUUGAUCUGGUGUGGGUGGGCUGGGAGACAGCAGCACAGAUGGGAGACCCAGACAGCCCAUUCACGAGCACAGCAGUAGGGCAAGAAGCAAGAAGAUUCCUGAAGAGUGUUGAAACUGCAGGGGAACUGCAACCACAACUGGGAAACACGAGUGAACUUGCAUAAAUCACUCCACAUGCCACAUUUAUUCCUCUAGUGCUCACAGAAAUGGCAGAGCCUAGCUACCCUUUGGAGUUUAUUGGAUUGCUGCUGGGCUAACAAGAUUCAUGGGAAAAUUAAAAAUUGAUCAGAUGAGCUAAAAACAUUGUGUUCUGCUGGAAAAAAAGUUGGCUUUGAGUAAUUUUGCAAGUUGGAAAAGUAUUUUUUGAACCACACUUGACACUGCUGAACACAUAUUGUUUUGCAGCUGGAGUGGGGUGACAGGCAAUUGCUGCAUUCUUUAAAUGGAAGUGAAACAUUUCAGUUGCACACACUGGAAUCUUUCUUCAGGUUUACAGCUGGAAAACUCUUUGGUGAUUGUGGCUUUUCAUGGCAACUCAUAACAGAUUUAUUAUUCUUUUCUUUGACACCCUAACAAACUUCACAGGGAGAGAAAACCACACUCUACCGAGCUCUGGCUGCACACGCUUGGGGGCCAGGCAUUGUUCUGCAGGGAAGGCUGUAGUGUGUGCAGCUAAAACAAGGGCUACCCAAAGCCCAGUUGUGCAGCUGCCUGUUUAACCCAAACAGUCACAAUAACAGUCAAUAAUCAGAUCAACUGGAGCUGCUCCAGUCUCAAACAAUGACAUCUUGGAGUCUGGGUACAAGUGGCCCCACCAGGCACUGCCUACCUGCAUCAGGGUCUGGUGUUGCAAAGCAGAGCACACAUGGGCCCCAUUCAGCUGCCCAUGCAGAGGCACAGAGCACCAUUGAGGGUGUUCUGCAGGCACUGGACCAUCUGCAGGGCAGUGGUGGCUGUGACAGGGGGCCUGGGGCAGGUUCCUCGCCAUACAGAGCAGCUGGAAACCAGGUAGGCUGUGAAAUGGCAUCACCUUCCUUUGUUUAGGCAAGAACUCUAUACUGUCUUCACCUGCUUAAGGAGAAAAUAUUCUCCACCCAAACAUUACUGGGAGAAUGAGAUCAUGGCUGUGUUCAUACUCCUGCUUGUAGAGCUUCUCCCCACUGCUGAGGCAGUCAGGUGUGGUGGGUGGAUCUCAGCCCUUUCCUGACAUUAAGCACCAUGAUUAAACUGGACGUUUAAUGUAAGACCUCUAAACUCAGACCAAAGCUCUUGCAGGACCCCAACACCUCAACAUUCUAACAGCAGAAUUCAGUGGCUGACAACCUGAUCUCCCCCACACAAUGAGCCAAGGCUGGCUCAGGAGGAGAGAAAAAAAAUUGCAAAGUGCCUUGGGGUAAGAAGCACCAGCAGUCUUGGAACAUGCCCUGCAUUGGCCACCUGCCCCUGGGCUGAGGACAUGGAUGUCCCCAGAGGAAGUAGUACCCAGCAUGACAUUUACAAGGAUUUACAAUGAGAAAUUACAACAAGAAUUGUUUCUGGUAGAAAAAACUGAGCAUUAUUAGCAGUACAGUAAAAUAUCCUGUGAGUCUCUGAGGAUCAGAGCAGGGCGCAAGGGAGGCAGGGUGCUGGGUCCAUCAAACUGGUCCUUUUCUGUGAGGAAAAUUGGUUUUUAAAAUUAAGGCACUGACUUGCAUUUGCUCUCAUCUGAGUGACUUGCUGGGGUAGCUCAGUUUUGGUUUGAUCUGCUGGAAGGGACAAGCAAGUUGGGACAAGCUCUGCUCAGCCUUACUCAUCUGGCAUCUCGCUAUCACACUUCUCUCCUGGCUGGACCAGCUGUUCCCUACAAUCAGCCCUCUGAGAUAGCAAAACGUGCUGUUCCCAGUGUGUCCCUCCAGCCUCCAAACAGCCUCAUGCCUGCCACAAGUGAUGGAGGGAAGUCCCUGAGCAGGAUGUGCAUUCCCCUUGGGGCCUCUGAGACAUGCAAGGAAUUAUUGAAAGCAGAAAUGAAGUGAAACUUCUCAAAACUUGUCCUCAGCACUGGACACCCAGGGAGGCUUCAGUGUAGACCCAACCAUAAGGAGCCCAAACCUCACCAUGGUAUGGAUAUGGUAUCUGGGGGCUGACCUCCCUUUUGUCCUUCUCCUGUCCUCCUUUUCCCAGAAGGUGUGGGACAUCUGGCCCAGGUGGCCUUCUACCAAAGCAGCCAAAACCACCGGGAAGCUCAAAACCAAAGACACAGGCUGUGUCCUUUCCUGAGAAGCCUCCUGAAGAAAUGGGGCUCUGGCAAUGCCACUGGGAACCAAGGCAGACACACACUGCAAAUCACAAUGGUGGCAACAAGGAGAUGAAUCUCUAGGUUUCAGAUGGGUCUUGGCUUGUUUAGUCUAGAAAAGGAAGUUAAAAUGCCAAAAGAGGAUAAUCAUCCAACACGGAAAAGGUUGCUGUAGAGCUGGAGAUGGUCAGACACUGUCCCUCAGCUCCUGCCAGGAGAACAACAGAUAAUUGGUGUAAUAUCCAGCAAAAGUGUCACAAGUUAGACAAGUAACUAAAAGGAGAUUUAAACACCAGACAAUAAAAACAGAGAUUAAGUUACUGAAGAAAGCUUCAGACUCCUCAUCUAUAAAGGUUUCUAAUGACAGAUCAGACUAACUUUGCCCUAGAAUAGUAUGGAAACAUGCUGUACUUGAUGAAAGAAAUCUUCAUAAACUCUGGCCUCAUCUCAACCAGAAAUGCUGUUUUAGAGGCUGAACAUGGGCAAACAGAUUAACAAAAAUAAAAAAACAAAGUUGCUUGGAGAAAUCACUGCCCACAAGAGCAAGUCACUCUAUGAAAUAUGACAUCCCAACUUUUUUUUUUGCUUAUUUCCCAUCUACUGUAUUGCAGUUAUGUGUAUUGGUCAGCCACUCACCCUGUCUUUCUAUCCUCCCCCCUUUCCCAAGCCCUGGCCAUGCUUUCCCCCAGGGCUGCUACAUAUUUAAUAGGUAAUUUUAGUACAUGCAUCAUUAUGGCAUCUCCUCCCACCUAACUAAGCUGAAGUAAGUACCUGGUCAUGCUGUGAUGUGAACCUGUAGCUCCCAAGAGUGAGGGCAUGAGCUGCUGGGCUGCACAUUCCAAAUGACACAAUUUACUGAAACUUCAGGGCUAGACUGAUUUAUGGAUGCUUCCUGAAGCCUGCAGGUAAGGCAGUGACCUUGUGCUGGUAACAAAGGCCAGCUGAUCUUUUAAGGUGCUCAUACUGGAAACAGGUGGAUGAAAUCCAUCCUUACCCCAGCAGAAUAGCUGCAAGCACUGAACCUGUUUCAAAGUGGCAUCCAGUGACCUCCUGGUAGCCAAGUGCUGAACCAGAUGAAAAGGUCAAUAGCAUAUCAGCCAGAACAGCUGGAUCUAAUAGAAAAUGAGUCAAGAUGAUACAUAGCUGGCAUUGCAGAAAUAACAGAUGUCAUCUAGGUCAGUUGUACCAGCGUGUUGAUGUGCUGAAACAACUGAGAAGAGACUCACAUGACCACAGCAAAUCAUCCUCUUCCCAGCCACUGAAACUGAGCUGACCCACAGAUGUUGCACACAGAUUUUCUGGAGACCAGGUUUCGGCACAUGGCAGAUACAAGGCAGAUCCCAUGGCAAAGCGUGGUCUGGAGAAGGGCUGUGUGCAAUGAGGGAUACAGAGAUGGAGCAGAUUGCAAGGAGCAGCAGACUGGCACGUAGAGCACUACCUUGUAAAUGAGUAACCACUCCUUAUGGAGGUGUUUACAGUGGAGGCACAUGAAGAACUGGUGGUUGUUAGAAGGUUUUGAUGAAAUCACACAAAGCUGAUGAGUUCAAGCCUUGUGCCUGUCUGGAUGAGAACACCAGGAGGAGGGAUAUCCAUGGGAAAGCUCCUUGCAUCUCAAAGAAGGAAGGAGUAAAAGAGGGAGGGAGGGAG